UUAGGUUUAAUAUUCAAUUUAUUAGCAGUAAAAAGAUAUAUUUUUUACUAUUAAAUUUAAAUAAUUUAUAAAA
rnacentral:rRNA from 1 species